AGGGCGAACGCUGGCGGCGUGCUUAACACAUGCAAGUCGAACGGUAAGGCCCCUUCGGGGGUACACGAGUGGCGAACGGGUGAGUAACACGUGAGCAACCUGCCCUUGACAUUGGAAUAACAGUUGGAAACAGCUGCUAAUACCGGGUAUGACCUUUCAUCGCAUGGUGGGGGGUGGAAAGCCUUGGCGGUCAAGGAUGGGCUCGCGGCCUAUCAGCUAGUUGGUGAGGUAAUGGCUCACCAAGGCUUCGACGGGUA
rnacentral:rRNA from 1 species